rnacentral:rRNA from 1 species
GGACUACUAGGGUAUCUAAUCCCGUUCGCUCCCCAUGCUGUCGUGUCUGAAUGUCAGAACCGGGCCAGGACGCCGCCUUCGCCUCAGGGGUUCCUCCGGAUCUCUACGCAUUUCACCACUACACCCGGAAUUCCACGUCCCUCUCCCGUUCUCUAGACCAGCAGUCUGGCAUAACCUCUCUAGGUUAAGCCUACAGAUUUCAUACACCACUUGCUGACCCAUCUGCACACGCUUUACGCCCAGUAAAUCCGGAUAACGCUCGCCACCUACGUUUUACCGCGGCUGCUGGCAC